GCGAAUCGCCCUUCGGGGUGCCCAGGCGCGAAAACUUUACAAUGCUGGCAACAGCGAUAAGGGGACCUCGAGUGCCAGGAUACAAUCUUGGCUGUCGCGAUGCCUAAAAAGCAUUGCAUAGCAAGGGCCGGGCAAGACCGGUGCCAGCCGCCGCGGUAACACCGGCGGCUCGAGUGGUAACCGCUAUUAUUGGGUCUAAAGGGUCUGUAGCCGGCCGGAUAAGUCUUUUGGGAAAUCCAGCUGCUCAACAGUUGGGCUUUCAGAAGAUACUGUUCGGCUCGAGACCGGGAGAGGUGAGAGGUACUUCAGGGGUAGGGGUGAAAUCUUGUAAUCCUUGAAGGACCACCAGUGGCGAAGGCGUCUCACCAGAACGGAUCUGACGGCAAGGGACGAAAGCUAGGGGCACGAACCGGAUUAGAUACCCGGGUAGUCCUAGCCGUAAACGAUACUCGCUAGGUGUCAGCCACGGUGCGACCGUGGUUGGUGCCGUAGGGAAGCCGUGAAGCGAGCCACCUGGGAAGUACGGCCGCAAGGCUGAAACUUAAAGGAAUUGGCGGGGGAGCAC
rnacentral:rRNA from 1 species